rnacentral:rRNA from 1 species
AUAUCAAUAAGCGGAGGAAAAGAAACCAACAGGGAUUGCCCCAGUAACGGCGAGUGAAGCGGCAACAGCUCAAAUUUGAAAUCUGGCCCCUCCGGGUCCGAGUUGUAAUUUGUAGAGGAUGCUUUUGGUGAGGUGCCGCCCGAGUUCCCUGGAACGGGACGCCGCAGAGGGUGAGAGCCCCGUCUGGCUGGCCACCGAGCCUCUGUAAAGCUCCUUCGACGAGUCGAGUAGUUUGGGAAUGCUGCUCAAAAUGGGAGGUAUAUGUCUUCUAAAGCUAAAUAUUGGCCAGAGACCGAUAGCGCACAAGUAGAGUGAUCGAAAGAUGAAAAGCACCUUGAAAAGAGGGUUAAACAGUACGUGAAAUUGUUGAAAGGGAAGCGCUUGUGACCAGACUUGGGCGCGGCGGAUCAUCCGGGGUUCUCCCCGGUGCACUUCGCCGCGUCCAGGCCAGCAUCAGUUCGUCGCGGGGGAAAAAGGCUUCGGGAACGUGGCUCCUCCGGGAGUGUUAUAGCCCGUUGCAUAAUACCCUGCGGUGGACUGAGGACCGCGCAUCUGCAAGGAUGCUGGCGUAAU